UGACCACAUUACCUUGAAACACCAGUUCUCAUAUGGUCACCAAAGUUAAGACUUGAUAAGGCCAGUCAGUACCUAGAUUGGUGACUGCUUGGGAAUACCAGGUGCUGUAAG